rnacentral:lncRNA from 1 species
GUUGCUUAACGUCCAGUGGCAAAUAUUUCAUGCAUAUUCAGGACGAGAACGAGUUAACAAUAAAUACAAUAGGUAGGUUGGUUUAAUAGAGGUCAUCUAGGAUGAUGGUCGGGGAAGUUUGGACUGCCACUGGAAAAUGAGGGUAUAUUGGAUAGGGACAGAAAUUUUGCCCUGCAACAGGUCACCUACGGACCCCUCGAAGAGUUGUUGCAAGGGUUCUUAACGUGCAAAGAGCGUGGCACUCUCUUUACACGAGGCAUCGGAUUUAACGUCCCCCUUCUGACCGGACGUGACAGCGAACUUGAUACAUCCCGCACUGCCAAACGGACAACCAACUUCGGCAAGCGUUUUAC